GGCCUGGCUCUUCUGUUCUCAGGGAGAUCAGGAGUUUGAAUUUUAUUCUGAUCGUGAUGGGGAAUCACUGGAGGGUUUUACGCAGGGACAAGGCUUGAUCUUACUUACACUUUUAAUAGAUUAUCCUGCUGUGUGGAGGACGGAUUGUAGGAGAGCAGAGUAGAAGCAGGAAGACCAGUUGGAUCGGACCAAGGGCGGCUGAGGAGUGCUACUGGCCACGCCUGUUUCUUGGCUUGAGAACCUGUCUCUGGAGAAUCGUCGUUCAGAGACCCUGGCGCUCUGGGAAGUGGGGAGGUGAGGGCCAACGCUGGCCUUGAAAUUCCACACACCCAGCUCCAGCCCCUUUUGUAGCCCGAGACACCCAACUACUCAUCCUCCCAACCACUUCCUUGCUCUGCUGUUUCAGAAAGUGAGAAUAAGUGGUUUACCUUGUACAUGUGGUGCCCUAGAAGGUGAGAAGACAGCAGCCCGGCUCUGUGUCCCUGGGUAGGGGUCUCCUGUGUUGUCCAUGGGCGAAGCCCAGACACCAGGUGCCUAAAAGGCUGAUGCGAAAGUAACCAAGAAGUAGGAAUGGCACGUGGCGUCCAGGAGGCUUGAUCUUUAUGUGGUUUCCAGCCCAGAUGAGGGAGAUCAGUGGAGUGUGGCCUGAAGGGGAGCACAGGAUCUGCCUGCCCUGCCCGGAGGCCCAGAGCUUAGGGAGGGGCGUGGCUUUUUUCCACCUGUCCUUCCCGGAGCUGGAUAAGAACUCAGGGCCGUCCCCAGGCCCUGGUGUUCCUUCCUCAUUGUCCUCAGGUUCCUUAGCUGAAAAAACUCAAGUCCAGGCGACUGAUCAGGCCAGAAGUUGAGGGCCUAAGCCAGCAGUGGGCACAGGAUUGGUGCACACUCUUCAUGUACUCCAUUGGUGCUGGGCCCACUCUGCCCUGGCCUCCAGGCUUGAGACCCCCUACUCCCACCCACCCCUGCCAGGCACCGCCCCACCUUAAAACCCCUGAAAGGAGCAGCAGCCACUGGGGACACUGGAGACAUGGGCAUGCUCUGCGGGGGCUGACACCUGAAGCAGGGUCCCUUGGCCACAAGUUCCGGGGCUCUCUAUUGGUCCUUGCUGGCCCUGGGUUUGGGGCCCAGCCAAGUGGCUGAGCAGUGAGUGAGUCAUGACUGGCAGCUGCAGGGGUCCCUGAAGGCAUGAGCCCCAACAUGUCGGCCUGUGUCAUCUGAGCUGUCAAGAAGGAUGAGGGGACAGGCCCAGGCACUGUUUGCAGACUCGGCCACCAGCUUGCUGAGUAGAACCCCAGCACUUGGGGACAGGCGUCCAGAGCUGAAGGAACUGUUGAGCGAGGAGCUUCACAUCUCUGCGGGUUCCUUCAACAACAUUGAAGUGUCGAGUCUCCAGAAAUUCCUCUCCUAGGUAUGUACCCAACAGACAUGUACUAGAAUGUUCAUAGCUGCACUAGUUGGCACAGCCCCAAACUGGAAAGCUCACACACCCAUUAUCAGUAGCACGAUUGUAGUUACACAGUGCAAUACUCUGCAGCGGUGAGAAUGAGGGGUCUACAAUUGUAUGCAAUGAUAGAGAUGGAUCUUACAAAGACACAACGACUGAAAGAAGCCAGGGACGAAAGAGCACAUCCUAUUUGCUUCCAUCUGUAUAAAGUACAAGAACAGGUGAGCCUAGUUCCUGCCAUUACAGGUCAGGAGGAGGCAGAGAGGGCUUCUGGGAUGCUUGGUGAUGUUGUUUAUCAAUCUGAGGUCGGUUGCGUGGGUUCCUGAUUGUGAAAGUGCAUCCAGCUGUACGUUUGUGACACGUGCACUUUUCUGGAGGUAUAUUGCAUUUCAAUAAAAAGUUUUUUAAAAAGCUGGAGUAUUUUCUCCAUUAAAACCACAGCCACACUCGGUGCUUUGUGACCGCCUGGAGGGGUGGGA